CAACCUCCCCCCAUAAGACUCAUAUCAGAGAGAGUAUUCUUGGAGAUGUCUGUUUGUCCAUUUCUACUGAAAUAGUCCUUAAGGUUAUUAAGAGCCAAGAAACUAUUAAUCCUAAUUGAUUAUCUUAGAAUAAAACAUGACUGUGCAAGACCUACAUUAUACAGCACAUCAGUAAUUCUAGCACAUUAUUCUUAUUGUCACUGCCCAUACUCAAUAACAAAUAAUCAUUUGCUAAUCUUUGUAUAAAUGAACUUUUAACAUGAGUUGCAUGGUCUAAAGCAAAAAGCGCUGGAGUGGAAUUCAGAGGCAUGACUCAACUUCCUACUGUGACGCAGAUUUCUCAUGUGGUAGCAAAGAGUCACGAACUGCUGGUUUAUCAAGGGAAUGAAUGCAUUACAGCUUUCAGUUUUUAUGCAGAGCUGCACAGCAGAAUUUUAACAUCCAAAUGAGAUUCAAGGAAUGGUUGAAGUUGGAAGAGACCCCUGGGGGGGACCUAGUCCAACCCAGAAACCUAAAGCAGCUGCCCAAGACCACGUCCAGGUGGCUUUUGAAGAUCUCCAGGGAGGGAGACUCCACAACCACUCUGGGCAAACUGUGCCAGUACUAUGUCACUCACACAGUAAAGAAGUGCUUCCUGAGGUUCAGAUGACACCUCCCGUGUUUGAGUGUGUGGCUAUUGCCUUUGUCCUGGCGCUGGACACCACUAAAAAGAGAGUAGUUCCAUCCUCUUUGCACCCUCUCUUUAGGUGACACACUCCAGAUUCUUCAUCAUCUUUGUGACUCUCCAUGUCCAUCAAUACGGACUAUGCUGCUAUCAACGUCUAGUGAUUAAGACCAUGCAGAAGAUCCAUGCAGACUUUCAUAUCUGGUUUCUUCAUAUUAAAGUGGGUUUCUUGAUUUCUUAGCUUCUUUAUAAUCUUUUGCUCAUCAAAGUAAUACUAAAGUGUCUGAUCUCAUAAGAUCUGAAUACUUGAAAGAAAUAUCUGACUUCCUCUGCCACUUUUUUAAAGGAUUUUGGUAGAAUUCAGAUAAUUUCUUAAGAAGGAAUUUCAGAUAAUUUCCUCUCAAAAUAAGAAGUAUGUAGGCAGCUCUACAGUAUGCUAAAAGCCAGUGUCCAGUGUUGCUCCAGACUUUUCUGAUGUAGUGUAAGGCUAAUAACUAUGACUGUGUUAUCACUAAAACACACACGUCUUGAUACUUCCAGCUUUUUAAAUCUCAGAAUCAACAUUUUUACAUAAAAGCAUGAAGUAGUAAUUCACAAAAUAUGAAGAAGUAAUUCACAAAGUAUGGAAUAGGGAAACUGUAGUUGUUUCUAAAUGUAAAAUUCUUGUUAUUAUUGCAAAUCAGUUACUUUUGCUAUAUUGCUUUUGAUACAGAAAGUACUGAAAUGUAAGGUUAGACGUCCUCUAAUAUCAGUGCUCACUUAAAAGUCUUUAUUUAAAUAUUCAAUAAAUAGAGUUUUCACCCAAUAUAUGCUUCUUUCUUUACAUCUUAAGAUGGCUGAAAUUCUCUCCCUGUUUACAAGUGGGGAAACAGAGUCAUAGGCAGAUGAAAUGUCUUGCCCAUCAUGUGUGAAUGGACUCUGUAGAUCCUCAUUUUCAUUACGAAAAGCACAAAUUAUUCAACCUUAAACAAUUUAUUUCUCUCCUAAGAGAACAAAAUGUUCUCAGCAAAGAUAGCAAAUAAAUUUCCCAUAGGCAAAGAAAAUUAUGUAUAGCUACUUUCAGGAUCUUCUUCUAUUGCUGGGUGUGUUUUUUGUUGUUGUUUUUGAUGUAUUUAUUUAUUUUUCUUUCCCAUACUUUCUGCAUGUUAUUCAUCUAUUUUGUGGCUGAUGGCAACAUUUCCAUACAGACCUUUCCACAGAAAACAUGGUGGCUGUGAGUGGAUUUCUGCAUGAGAAAUCCAGUACCCACCACUUAAAAGAAAAUGAGCAUAUCACCUGAGCAACAUGCAAGCUUAGAGACCCACUGCAGAAAGGUCAUCCAAAAUCUGCUGUUUACUGUUACUGUUGGAUCAACACUCUUCUGCCUUUGAUUUUUAUCCCUAGUACUCCUGGCACAUGAAGAGACUUGCUGCCACUGAAAUUGCUAUUCCCAAUCCAUAUGGUGGUAGGAGGAAUUGAGCAGUGGUUCUUUUAUGUAGUAAGCUUUAGAUAAUGGUCACUAGCAUGCAGAGCAACAUGCCAAUUGCUGGUGUUACGUCUGGUUGACGUUUCAGACCCAACUUUGUACCUUUCUAAUCAUUAAUCAACAAUCAGACAAAGAAUAUAUUGCUGAAUCCAGACAGCAGCCAAUACAGAACUCUAAUACAUUAUAGAUUCUCUGUCAGCACAUUUAUUUAUUGUUUGCAGUGUUCUGUUUAAAAAUCCCUAUGCUCUUUCAUUUUAUUAUUUAUUUAUGUGUUUAUUUAUUUAUUUCUCUUUAGCUGGAUUUAACAAAGCAGUGAAUCUCCAUUUAUUAACAUCUCCUACAAAUGCUGAAUGGUGAAUUAUGUUGUAUAAAAUACAAUUAUAGUAUUAUUCUUGGUAUUUACUACUACUUACUAAAAUCUUUAGCAAAUAUACCAUUAAAUGAAAGAAUUAAAUUGCCUAGGUAGAGCCAGAGUACUUUUUUGUCCUCAGGUAAAUAUCCAGUAGAUCAUUUUAUUGUUAUUUAACAUUAUAUUAAAGGUUGGUGAUCAG